CGCUGGCUUGAGCAGGGGGACCUUGCGUUCCUUGCUCAUGAUCAUUGAUGCCCCACGAGGACUAAGAAGCGGAGAUCAUCUUGUAUUCCUGGCAGCACAAUUUGGAGACCCUACCACUGAGAGCGUCCGCCUGUAUUUUGAAGAAGUUGAACAUUCUUAAUUUAUACCUGUUCGUUUGGGGCCUGUGAUUGCAGACCAGACAGAUCCUACAAACUACAUCAGUCAUUGUGAGAUGGAAUACCAGUUUGAGAUGGAGCCCUUGACUCUCCGCUUCCUUCGGACCUUUAAAGAACUUCUGAAAUUUGUUCUCUUCAGUUACACAGUACUGUUAGGUGCUUUGCUCUUAGCAGGCUGGACAACAUACUUCAUGGUUGCAAAAUAAAUAAAAAAGUGGACUGGAUGAGUGUCUCUAUUGUGGUAUGACAAUUGUAAAAGCACCAGUGUAUUCAAAUUGCCACACUCUAGUGAUUGUGUUCAGUAUGGCCUGUGACCAAUAGGUUGCUAUAAUAAUUUGAAGAUAUGCUACUUAAGCAGGUUUCAUGAUAGUAGCAGAUGUAGGCAAUGUUAUAUCUAUAACUUGUUUGUGCCUCUUUGUUAUUAAGGUAAUGUUUCUGUGUCACCUUAUUUUUUGCCGAUACCUCAACAAAAAUGGUUUUCCCAAUGUGCAAAUUAAUUUAUUAUGUACUCAUUAAACAUUCCAAAU
ensembl:lncRNA